CUGAGGGCAGGGACGCCGGUGCUGCUCACUGAUCAAGCUUAGCAUGUGGUAGAUGCCCAAUGUGUGUUGGUGGAACGAUCACAUGAAUGAAUGACACUGGUCAAUCGGUACCAGUGAGGUGGGGUGUGUUCUCUGGCCUGAACCUGAAACCAAAGAAGCCACCAGCACAGAAGGCCCGCCCUGCUGGAGGCCAGAGAGGCCCUCACAGGGGCUCCCCUCUCUGGCGUCCUCAGAGACGCUCUGGGACACAGACUCAGCUGCCUAGAGGCCUGGACACUGCCUUAUCGGAAACAGCCCCAAUGUGAAAGCCACGUCCGCAGUCUCCGUGGAGCAAGUUUAAAUCUACAGCCGCUCAGCCGAGCCAAUGGCUCUCACAGAAUCGCUAAUAACACCCGUGGCAUUUUCACACACGCCAGCAAACAUGGGGGCCAGAUGGUCAGCCAGGCCCGCAGAGCAGCGUUCUCA